rnacentral:misc_RNA from 1 species
AUUAUGCACUUAUGGAGCUCAUCAUCUUUUCUCCUGUGUACAAGGGAAUCUGGUUACUGAAUGCACUAGAGUUUUCAAGGAUUUUAAUUUGGUUAAUCCCAGGAAAGUGGAGAGGUUCUUCUCGGCUAAUGGCAGAAUCAAGGGAAUCAAGUGCCGAGUGAGAACUUGGGUAAUUGAGAAGGUUUUCUCCUAUCUGAUAUGUCUAAAGAAGCCAGACAUUGAAUCAGCAUUGGCGAAAUUAAGACAGUUAUCCGAUUUUAAUUUAAGUAUGGUGGAAGCCAAAAUCAUUUCUGAAUUAUCUGAAGUGCUGAUCAAAUUCAAAGUAGGGUCUGAGUUCACUUUUUCAGAUUUCAUCAAAAAUCCCUGGAGUUCA